rnacentral:rRNA from 1 species
CUUGUUUACCUAUAAGAGGUCCAGCCUGCCCAGUGACUCUGUUCAACGGCCGCGGUAUCCUAACCGUGCGAAGGUAGCGUAAUCACUUGUUCUUUAAAUGAGGACUAGUAUGAAUGGCACCACGAAGGUUAUACUGUCUCCUCUCUCUAAUCAGUGAAACUAAUCUCCCCGUGAAGAAGCGGGGAUAAUCUUAUAAGACGAGAAGACCCUAUGGAGCUUUAAACUAAGAAUCAACUGCCUUUACCAUAUUUAAAUUCCAGAAGACUAACUUUUACCAAGACAUUCUGAUUUCUAGUUUUAGGUUGGGGUGACCACGGAGUAAAAACUAACCUCCGCAAUGAACAGGGAUCUUCCCUUAACCAAGGACCACAACCCCAAGAAUCAAUACAUUGACAUCAAUUGACCCAUUAAACCUGAUCAAUGAAC